rnacentral:rRNA from 1 species
AGAGUUUGAUCCUGGCUCAGAUUGAACGCUGGCGGCGUGCUUAACACAUGCAAGUCGUACGAGAACGCUUUAGCUUGCUAGAGCUAGUAAAGUGGCGCACGGGUGAGUAACACGUGGGUAAUUUACCUUCAGGUUCGGGACAACACUGCGAAAGCGGUGCUAAUACCGGAUAAUAUCUGCGAAGCCCCGGCUUCGCAGAUCAAAGGAAGCCUCUACAUGUAAGCCUCUGCCCGAAGAAAAGCCCGCGGACCAUUAGCUUGUUGGUGAGGUAACGGCUCACCAAGGCGACGAUGGUUAGCUGGUCUGAGAGGAUGAUCAGCCACACUGGAACUGAGACACGGUCCAGACUCCUACGGGAGGCAGCAGUGAGGAAUUUUGCGCAAUGGGGGAAACCCUGACGCAGCAACGCCGCGUGAGUGAAGAAGGCUCUUGAGUCGUAAAGCUCUGUCAAGCGGAAAGAAAUCAUGCUCCAUGAAUAGUGGAGUGUGUUGACGGUACCGCUAAAGGAAGCACCGGCUAACUCCGUGCCAGCAGCCGCGGUAAUACGGGGGGUGCUAGCGUUAAUCGGAUUUAUUGGGCGUAAAGCGCGCGUAGGCGGCUUCAUAAGUCAGAUGUGAAAGCCCGGGGCUCAACCCCGGAAGUACCUUUGAUACUAUGGAGCUUGAGUAUG